rnacentral:rRNA from 1 species
AUGGUUCUGGGGACGCAACAGCAGCCUAAGGAUAUGGCAAACAAGUCUGGCAUAUUAGAUGGUGGUGGUGACGAUAGAGGCAAAUCUCCUGUCUUAGAGGAGCAGGUGCCAAUAGCCGACUGGAAAUUCAAACCAGAGAUGGAGGUGGAUUCAGUGACAGACACCAAUGAAUCACCGAGGGAUUUUUCCAUAGUAGUAAACACGGAUGAGUCGCCGACGGAUUCUAUCAUAUUAAAUACAGAUGAGUCGCCGACACUAGAACCAGUUCUUUCUUGUGUCCCUGAUAUCCAGUCUGAGGAUGAGUCAUCCACACUCCAGCCAGUUCUUUGUUGCGGCCCUGAUAUCCAGUCUAAGGUUUAUGUCCUUCCUCUUCCUCCUCAUUUCAGGAAGCAGGAGGAUCCAGUUCCCCCUCCUAAGCAUCUCUUACAAUAG